rnacentral:rRNA from 1 species
GACGAACGCUGGCGGCGUGCUUAACACAUGCAAGUCGUACGGUAAGGCCCUUUCGGGGGUACACGAGUGGCGAACGGGUGAGUAACACGUGAGUAACCUGCCCACAACUUUGGGAUAACGCUAGGAAACUGGUGCUAAUACUGGAUAUGUGCUCCUGCUGCAUGGUGGGGGUUGGAAAGCUCCGGCGGUUGUGGAUGGACUCGCGGCCUAUCAGCUUGUUGGUGGGGUAGUGGCCUACCAAGGCGGCGACGGGUAGCCGGCCUGAGAGGGUGACCGGCCACAUUGGGGCUGAGAUACGGCCCAGACUCCUACGGGAGGCAGCAGUGGGGAAUAUUGCACAAUGGGCGCAAGCCUGAUGCAGCAACGCCGCGGGCGGGAUAACGGCCUUCGGGUUGUAAACCGCUUUCAGCAGGGACGAAGCUUUUUGUGACGGUACCUGCAGAAGAAGCACCGGCUAACUACGUG